rnacentral:rRNA from 1 species
CCUACGGGAGGCAGCAGUGAGGAAUAUUGGUCAAUGGGCGCGAGCCUGAACCAGCCAAGUAGCGUGAAGGAUGACUGCCCUACGGGUUGUAAACUUCUUUUAUAAAGGAAUAAAGUGAGGCACGUGUGCCUUUUUGUGUGUACUUUAUGAAUAAGGAUCGGCUAACUCCGUGCCAGCAGCCGCGGUAAUACGGAGGAUCCGAGCGGUAUCCGGAUUUAUUGGGUUUAAAGGGAGCGUAGGUGGGUUGUUAAGUCAGUAGUGAAAGUUUGCGGCUUAACCGUAAAAUUGCAAUUGAAACUGGCAGUCUUGAGUACAGGUGAGGUAGGCGGAAUUCGUGGUGUAGCGGUGAAAUGCUUAGAUAUCACGAAGAACUCCGAUUGCGAAGGCAGCUUACUGGACUGCAACUGACGUUGAUGCGCGAAAGUGUGGGUAGCAAACAGGAUUAGAUACCCGUGUAGUC